GCUAGGCAUAGUGGUGCAUGACUGUAAUCCCAGUGACUUGGGAGGCUGAGGCAGGAGGAUAGCAAGUUCAAGGUCAGCCUCAGUAAUUUAGUGAGAUUCUGUCUCAA
rnacentral:sRNA from 1 species